UCGUAAACAUCCCGGAAGUGUCCUCGUCCAGCAUGGCAGUAAACAGGUGUGGGAUAACUUGUUGACAUGUUCACUUCACCGUCACCAGCCUCGCUAACAGCCCGCACGUGCUCCUACCUCGUCACCAUUUAAUGAGUGCAGAGUUUCCAGAUCACAACUGAGGACGAUUGAGUUUCUUCCUGUACAGUAUAGUAUGCCAUUUGAUCAUUUCAUAAUAUAGUGUCAUGGAAAAAGGUCAUAGUAUGUUUUAAAAUAUGAAAAAAGUAAGCAGGAGAGACUCGUGUCGGACUACGACAAAGUGAAGGCCGAAGAGCAGGAGAAGGAUGCGAAGCUGCAGAAACUCAUACUGCUGAAUGAAGAGAGGGAGCAGGCCAGAGAGGACUUGAAGGGCCUGCAGGAGACUGUGGCGAGUGUGUGAAGUUACAAUGUUGUAGUUGUUGUACAACUAAAAAUAACAUCAAUAAUAAGGAAUAAAUAAAUAAUGAUGUUAGUUAAAACCUUACAAAAUGAAUAUAGGAAUAAAGACAAAAGGGUAAAUACAGAAACCAAUGAUCUGAGUGACCUGCAGUCUUCCAACCGUCCUGCCGUCACCCUGAACUGUCUGAUCAGGCGACUCGUGUAUAUUACUUACUUUAUUUUUGUCUUUAUUCUUUUAAUUUGUGUCACCAUAUUCCUGUUUGUAAUCCAUAUCGAUCAAAUGCAAAAGGAAGUGCAAACAUCAGUAAACAGAACAUUAAGAUAUCAA